rnacentral:rRNA from 1 species
GAUGAACGCUGGCGGCGUGCCUAAUACAUGCAAGUCGAGCGAACAGACGAGGAGCUUGCUCCUCUGACGUUAGCGGCGGACGGGUGAGUAACACGUGGAUAACCUACCUAUAAGACUGGGAUAACGUCGGGAAACCGGAGCUAAUACCGGAUAAUAUAGUGAACCGCAUGGUUCAAUAGUGAAAGACGGUUUUGCUGUCACUUAUAGAUGGAUCCGCGCCGCAUUAGCUAGUUGGUAAGGUAACGGCUUACCAAGGCAACGAUGCGUAGCCGACCUGAGAGGGUGAUCGGCCACACUGGAACUGAGACACGGUCCAGACUCCUACGGGAGGCAGCAGUAGGGAAUCUUCCGCAAUGGGCGAAAGCUUGACGGAGCAACGCCGCGUGAGUGAUGAAGGUCUUCGGAUCGUAAAACUCUGUUAUUAGGGAAGAACAAAUGUGUAAGUAACUAUGCACGUCUUGACGGUACCUAAUCAGAAAGCCACGGCUAACUACGUG